AGGGCCUAUAGCUCAGUUGGUUAGAGCACACGCCUGAUAAGCGUGAGGUCGGUGGUUCAAGUCCAUUUAGGCCCA
rnacentral:tRNA from 1 species